rnacentral:rRNA from 1 species
GAGGAAUAUUGGUCAAUGGGCGCAAGCCUGAACCAGCCAUCCCGCGUGAAGGAUGAAUGCCUUAUGGGUUGUAAACUUCUUUUGUACCUGAAGAAACUCUGGGUCGUGACCUGGACUGCCGGUAGGGUACGAAUAAGCAUCGGCUAACUCCGUGCCAGCAGCCGCGGUAAUACGGAGGAUGCAAGCGUUAUCCGGAUUUAUUGGGUUUAAAGGGUGCGCAGGUGGUUGAAUAAGUCAGUGGUGAAAGUCUGCCGCUUAACGGUAGGAUUGCCAUUGAUACUGUUUGACUUGAGUUUAGGUGAGGUAGGCGGAAUGUGUAGUGUAGCGGUGAAAUGCAUAGAUAUUACACAGAACACCGAUUGCGAAGGCAGCUUACUAAUCUACAACUGACACUGAGGCACGAAAGCGUGGGGAUCAAAC